UCGGUCUUAAAUGGCAUGAGCAAGCCAAGUCCAAGAAGGAAAUCGUUAGCUGAGGUCAACCGAAUUUGUGUUUCGGGCUUAUUGGGCAGGGACGAAAAGUUUUAGUUCUUGAGGAGGCUUCUACAGUUUAGGUACACAAAAAGAUCUUCAGAAAUUCUGCUGUAAUCGUUCUGCACGUAAACAUAAUGGUAAGACAUAUUCUUUGUGCAGUUCACUCUCAAGGUAAUUGGCCACAUGAUGAUCAGGAGCUUAGAACCGAAAGGCGAAGAGCAGGAGAAAUUCUGAUCCGAUUUCAAAAUAAUUUCCUCCGCAUUCGCUUCCUUGCCAUUUAAAUUGCCAGGAACCGCAUUUCAUCGUGGAAUUCAGGCUCGGGAUAGGAUGUAUAUAGCAUGUUGGACAGCGUUAUUUCUAGGAGGAGAGAAGGACAAGGCUUCCAAAACGAUUUCCUGGAGUCCCUGAUAAUCAAGCACAGCAAGGCGGUGGACGGAGAAGCUGACAAAGAGAAGCUAACGGGCAAGCAAAUGAAGGACAAUGUACUAACUCUUCUAGUUGCUGGUCAUGACACCACCACUGCUGCUCUGACUUGGCUCAUGAAAUUCCUCGGAGAGAACCCUCGAGAUCUGCAACGGCUCAGGGAAGAGCAUAUGGAAAUUCAAGCGAGUGGCAAGGGUGGAGCGAAUCUAUCUUGGAGCGAAGUUAAUAACAUGCCUUAUACCGCUAAAGUAAGCAAGACAUUAACUCUAUCACCCUAAUUACCCUACUGAAAACGGGAAGAUGUAGAAAUUUUUUUUGUCUUUGGUAUUUCAGGUAAUAAGUGAAACUCUAAGGAGAGCCACGAUAUUACCUUGGUUCUCGAGGAAAGCUGCUCAGGAUUUUGAGAUUGAUGGAUAUAAGAUCAAGAAAGGUUGGUUGGUGAACCUGGAUGUUGUUUCUAUUCACCAUGACCCGGAAGUUUUCCCUCAGCCCGAAGUUUUUGACCCUUCCAGAUUUGAUGAACCUUUGAAGCCUUUCAGCUUCCUUGGAUUCGGUAGUGGACCACGUAUGUGCCCGGGGAUCAAUCUGGCGAAGCUGGAGAUCUCUAUUUUCAUUCAUCACUUAUCGUGCAGAUAGAAGUUAGAACAUAAAAUGCUCAUUUUGAUAAACAACGUCUCAUCUUCCUGCUAGAACAUUUUGAUUGCCAUCUAGCAUGUCAACCAGCCAAGGGGACAACCUUUUAUAAGCUAUAGUCUUUUUAAAAAAAUGAAGCAAUAAAGAAGAAGAAAAAGAAAAAGAAAUGACAAAAUUGAUAUGUUCGUGUCUGAGACUAUGCUUGAUGAAUUUCUCAGGCGUUUAUUGUGAGUGUAGAACUUGAUUAGACAAUCUUACUCUUCUUGACAGGUGGACUCCUCUGGAGAGAGAUGACUCAGUCCAGCCUACUCUAGUAAAGAUGCCCAAGAACAAGUAUCCAGUUCUCGUUGAGCCACUGUAGAUGUAUUUGUUGCUUCACUUGGCAAUUUGGCACAGAGCCAUAAUAGCCAAGGAAAGAAGUGGCACGGGGGAUUCGACUUUAUUGUUAUGACCCGAUCGUCAAUGCAAUACCAAUAUGCUAGAAUGACAAACUCACUGGGUAAUGGUAGCCAUAAGCGAACGCUUGCCCGGGAGCACAUUGUAUGACUGAGAAAAUGAGAAAUAAGAAUGUCCGAAGCAGUUUACGUUCUUCUUGAGUUGGUCUAUUUCUUGCUGAAUAACUACCUUUUGCUACAAUCCUAUUACUCUGGCCUGUUAAUCAACAAAUGCAACUUCAAGCAGCUUAAUUGCAGAGAGUGGACAGAUAAGUAAAGAUUGGAGAUAUGUCUUUUGUUUAUGAAAGUUAAUCCAUUGAUGCACGGACAUAAGCAAAUAGGAAAGCCCGGCCAAUACACCAUGGAGAAUAAAGGUGCUAAAGAUAUUCGAAAUCAGCAUACUGAAGUUUGAAUUCAGUAUUGCCUUGAAUCAGACAGAAAUGUAGAACUCCAGAAGAUAAGUUCCAGAAACCCAAUACAAAUGUCAUGUCAGCUCCAGCUCUAGCCCCCUUAAAUUGGUUGGUGGUGCAUAACACAUUGCAUACCUUAGGUAGAAUGAAUAAGUAAAUACUAUUGGCCUUAAUAACAACAGUUCGGAUGCCAGAUCCCUUCAAACAAUGACAAUGCACCCAAGCAAUGAAAAAGGAACCAGAUUUGGACUGCAACUUCCUGAGAAUACAAGCAGUCUUCCAAAUCUCACGGGUAAAGGUGAGCCUCACAAGGAUCUUUAGAGCGAGAUGAGAAGAUCCGGAUUUUCUAUUACUUAUGAGAUGAUACCAAUGAGAGGAGGGACUCCUAUAUAUACAAAUACUCUCUUAUUCAUAACCGUAGAUCUCCCUACAAUCUGAACGUGGAGGUUCAAUUUCCCCAUCUAUCAACU